UGGGGAAUUUUGGACAAUGGGCGAAAGCCUGAUCCAGCAAUGCCGCGUGUGUGAAGAAGGCCUUCGGGUUGUAAAGCACUUUUGUCCGGAAAGAAAUCCUUGGCUCUAAUACAGUCGGGGGAUGACGGUACCGGAAGAAUAAGCACCGGCUAACUACGUGCCAGCAGCCGCGGUAAUACGUAGGGUGCAAGCGUUAAUCGGAAUUACUGGGCGUAAAGCGUGCGCAGGCGGUUUGCUAAGACCGAUGUGAAAUCCCCGGGCUCAACCUGGGAACUGCAUUGGUGACUGGCAGGCUAGAGUAUGGCAGAGGGGGGUAGAAUUCCACGUGUAGCAGUGAAAUGCGUAGAGAUGUGGAGGAAUACCGAUGGCGAAGGCAGCCCCCUGGGCCAAUACUGACGCUCAUGCACGAAAGCGUGGGGAGCAAAACAGGAUUAGAUACCCUGGUAGUCCACGCCCUAAAACGAUGUCAACUAGUUGUUGGGGAUUCAUUUCCUUAGUAACGUAGCUAACGCGUGAAGUUGACCGCCUGGGGAGUACGGUCGCAAGAUUAAAACUCAAAGGAAUUGACGGGGUCAUAG
rnacentral:rRNA from 1 species